GGGAAGAUGGCCGAGUGGUUAAGGCGCCGUGUUUAGGUACUGAGUCUGCUCAGGCACGUAUACCGCGGUUCGAAAGAGCGGGAGUUCGAACCUCCCUCUUCUCA